ACUGCAAAAAUGAUUCUCUUCUGAUCAAACAUCUACAAUUGGUAUAUGUCAAGAUGGGAUAGGAAAUACCCAAGAGCUUCUUGCUUUUCAUGAUGAGCCAAUGGAUGGUAGUGAUCUGUGCUAGCCUAAAAAGCCGGACAUGGGGACAUGCUCAGACAUG